GGGGGGGCGGGUCGCCUUCCUCUGCAGCAGGGAUGGAAAUCACUAGCCUCCCCCUGGCAAUCACCGAUCCUUUCCCCGGGAUCUCUUAUCGGGGAACAACCUGUGAUAGCAGGUGACAUUGCACAUCCUCACUCCCCUGCCCCACAUCAGGGUGCAAGGUCUGAGCUGUGCCAGGGCUUACGCCCUCUUACUGGUACAGUUAGUGGGUUUGUCCGGGCUGGUUUGGACAGAGCUGAUGUGAUGUGUGAUGGGGCUGGGCUAGACGCAGCUGCUGCGGGUCCCUUCCAGCCCCAGUGCUCCAUGAAAGUGCUUUCCACCCCACUCACAUUCAGCUGAGUUUGUACUUCCCCCCAGAGCUCAUGUUACCAUGUCCAGCCCUGCAUUCAUGCAUUCAACUGGACUUAAAAAUCAGGCCACAGUGCGGGAAAAUGGGCACAAUGUAACUAGGACUAGCCAACAGACAGCAGCAGGGCUGGAGGAUGGGGAGCUGGAGGAGUGGGACCUCAAAAGACCAUUAAAAUGAAGAGAGGGCAGUUAACAUGUGGGGAAUGAAGAGUUUAGAAGGAAUCAACAACCAACUAUCUUCAGCCAUGAAGUCAGUGGACUCCCUUCCCCGCAGCCUGAGUAACGGCCUUUGUCCUGGCGAGGCGCUGGUUUUAAACUCGGGGUGCAGCUGGAGACAAAGAGAGUAGGUUUAAGAGAAGAAACCCUGUGCGAAUGUGGAGUGGAGGGAAAAUGGAGGGGUGUGAGGUCCAGGGGACCUGCGGCCAGUCUGCAAAGCCCCCCAUGCCAACCUCCCCAUCACUUAGAGCGGGGUCACAACAGAGGGGAGCAAAGUGGAACUGAAAGGAGGGAGGGGAGCAGUCCUGCUUGCUCCAGUACUAGAGCAAAGGGACAGGCAAUAUCAUUGCAAAAGCAGCUGGUUUCAAUAUGGGUAGGGGGCGACCCCCUGUCAUCCCAUGCCACCCACAGUCAUGGGGCUCAUGGCUUAUCACAGGGAGGAUAAGGCCAGGAGGAGCCAUGUGAUGGGCAGAGCCAGGGGCCUCCACAGAAAGAGGGGCAAGGGUCAGCUAGAUCUGGUGUCCAGCAGGGCCCUGUCCCCAUCAUCCCCACGGCCACGCAAGCUGAGGUUCCAGGCCACCAGGGUAUUCCACCACUGGCCACAAGGGGGAGGCCUCAGACCACCUUGUGGAGGGGUCCCAAUCCUGCCCAGCAGCAAAGCAGACCUCUGAGGCAGACCUUUACAGCCCCCAAGACCAGGAAAGGCUGGUUGGCCUGGACACAGCCACAGGGAAAGUAAGAGAUGUCGGGGGGAUCUGGAGGCAUUUUCAGCCUCUCAGGUACUUUCUCUUCUCAGCCUGGCCGUAAGCACAAGCAGCUGCUGCAAUCACAGCCUCCGAGGCCCAUGAGUGUUCCUUCCAGGAGCAUGGGGCCUCUCCUCUUCCUCCUCCUUGCCAGGGCACCAGAAGCCUUGGGUCCAGGGCACCACCAGCCCUGAGCACUGGCACAACAGGGAGCUGCUGAUCCACCUGUAGCUGGUCAACUUCAUCUGCCAGGUCAACAAGUGGGCACAGCAGGAGGGCUUGAGCUAGCUCUCGCAGGGGGCUUACAGCACCAGCCUCAGGGGUGAGGAUCUGGUCAGCUUCUUGGUGGGCAACUGCAUGGCUUGGUGGCAGGAUCAGCUGGCACUACAUGUGUGGGACACCCUGAACUGUGACAAGGUUGCAGCCAAUACACUGGAAAACUUACUCAACCACACCUGCAUCCAGAACCUGCAGACUCUGCUCUGCAAUGGGAAGGAGGUGAUGGAGAAGCAGGGUGAGGCCCCCAAUGCUAAGAGCACCCCGUGGUCACGGUAUAUUCCCAGCAACCCAUUGUCACCCCAGAGCUCCCACUGAUGCCAGUUUACUGGGUCACCGGCUUCUACCAUGGCCCAUCCAAGUGGCCUGGCUGCAGGAUAGCAAGGAGGUGCCUCCAGGCCUGGGCCUCAACUCCAGUGGCCUCCUGCCCAACGUCAACAUGACCUACCAGCUGUGCAGCAUCCUGGCUCUGAAUCUGUCUUCUGGGCACCAUUAUGCCUGCCUCGUGGAGCACAGCAGCCUGGGCAGCCAUGGCUUGGUCAUGCCCUGGGGUGGGUGCAGGGCAGAGCUGGGCACAGUGGGAGGAAGGUCUCAGCACUGGGGAAUGGACAGAUCCCACUUAAGGCAUGAGCUACCACCUGUGACCAGCUCCAGCCCCCUGCCCCCAUGCUCCAGGCUUGGGUGUAGUGGAUUCCCCUUCAGGGGCUGAGGCCAUGUACCAGCAGAUCCAAAGAGACAGCUUCCUGGGUAAGAGGUAGCCCAGUCCCACCCUGCCUCAAAACCCUGGUGGUCUAGUCUCAGCUCCCAGCUCAGUUGGCUCCAAGCCUCAGACCUACAUGUGUAUGAUGAGCCACUGAUGCCAGCACACCUCCACAGGACAGCUCUCCCAGCUGGAGAUGGGCUUUCUCCCUGAGACUGUCACCUGCCCCAGGCCUUCCAGGGAUGGCUGAUGGGACCCCUCCUUAGCUCUUCCACCAGCUCCUCCAGCCCAAUCACUGCCCUGAACAGGGAGAGAACCCAGGUGUCCUGGCUUCCAGCCCCACCAUGGUGAAGGCAGGGCCUAGGACAGGGAGGCAGACCAGACCAUGCAACAGGGGAUUCUUGCUCCCCUCCCUCUGCUGCCUUCCAGAAAGCAAAACCCACUGGAAAACCAAUGUGACCAUGGGUAUCUUGGUCACACUUCUCAUCCUGGCCAUGGUGGUGGCAGCCAUUGUGUGCGUGCAGCAGAGACAGAGAUGAGCUGCCUUCCAUCCUUUUCCUCCUCCUCUCCUGACUCACAGGGGAAGGGGUUUCCUUACAUUUCCCAUGGCCCUUACCCAGCACUCAUGGUGGGAUCUGUCCUUGCAGGAGGUACCAGAACAUCAGCUGUCCUGGGAUGAUGUGACUUGUCCCCAGCUCUUUGGUUGAGGCUCUGCCAGUGAUGUGGAGAUGGGGCAGACAGUCCAUGGCACUCUCCUUUGUCCAUUGGGCAUCUCAUGGGUACAAUAAAAUAGAGGAUGGCUUUCC